rnacentral:rRNA from 1 species
CGGCGAUGUCCGAAUGGGGAAACCCAGUGUGAUUCGUCACACUAUCGUUAACUGAAUACAUAGGUUAACGAGGCGAACCGGGGGAACUGAAACAUCUAAGUACCCCGAGGAAAAGAAAUCAACCGAGAUUCCCCCAGUAGCGGCGAGCGAACGGGGAGCAGCCCAGAGUCUGAAUCAGCUUGUGUGUUAGUGGAACGGUCUGGAAAGUCCGACGGUACAGGGUGAUAGUCCCGUACACCAAAAUGCACAGGCUGUGAACUCGAAGAGUAGGGCGGGACACGUGGUAUCCUGUCUGAAUAUGGGGGGACCAUCCUCCAAGGCUAAAUACUCCUGACUGACCGAUAGUGAACCAGUACCGUGAGGGAAAGGCGAAAAGAACCCCGGCGAGGGGAGUGAAAAAGAACCUGAAACCGUGUACGUACAAGCAGUGGGAGCACCUUCGGGUGUGACUGCGUACCUUUUGUAUAAUGGGUCAGCGACUUAUAUUCUGUAGCAAGGUUAACCGUAUAGGGGAGCCGCAGGGAAACCGAGUCUUAACUGGGCGUUAAGUUGCAGGGUAUAGACCCGAAACCCGGUGAUCUAGCCAUGGGCAGGUUGAAGGUUGGGUAACACUAACUGGAGGACCGAACCGACUAAUGUUGAAAAAUUAGCGGAUGACUUGUGGCUGGGGGUGAAAGGCCAAUCAAACCGGGAGAUAGCUGGUUCUCCCCGAAAGCUAUUUAGGUAGCGCCUCGUGAACUCAUCUUCGGGGGUAGAGCACUGUUUCGGCUAGGGGGUCAUCCCGACUUACCAACCCGAUGCAAACUACGAAUACCGAAGAAUGUUAUCACGGGAGACACACGGCGGGUGCUAACGUCCGUCGUGAAGAGGGAAACAACCCAGACCGCCAGCUAAGGUCCCAAAGUCAUGGUUAAGUGGGAAACGAUGUGGGAAGGCACAGACAGCCAGGAUGUUGGCUUAGAAGCAGCCAUCAUUUAAAGAAAGCGUAAUAGCUCACUGGUCGAGUCGGCCUGCGCGGAAGAUGUAACGGGGCUAAACCAUGCACCGAAGCUGCGGCAGCGACACUAUGUGUUGUUGGGUAGGGGAGCGUUCUGUAAGCCUGCGAAGGUGUGCUGUGAGGCAUGCUGGAGGUAUCAGAAGUGCGAAUGCUGACAUAAGUAACGAUAAAGCGGGUGAAAAGCCCGCUCGCCGGAAGACCAAGGGUUCCUGUCCAACGUUAAUCGGGGCAGGGUGAGUCGACCCCUAAGGCGAGGCCGAAAGGCGUAGUCGAUGGGAAACAGGUUAAUAUUCCUGUACUUGGUGUUACUGCGAAGGGGGGACGGAGAAGGCUAUGUUAGCCGGGCGACGGUUGUCCCGGUUUAAGCAUGUAGGCUGGUUGUCCAGGCAAAUCCGGAUAAUCAAGGCUGAGGUGUGAUGACGAGGCACUACGGUGCUGAAGUAACAAAUGCCCUGCUUCCAGGAAAAGCCUCUAAGCAUCAGGUAACAUCAAAUCGUACCCCAAACCGACACAGGUGGUCAGGUAGAGAAUACCAAGGCGCUUGAGAGAACUCGGGUGAAGGAACUAGGCAAAAUGGUGCCGUAACUUCGGGAGAAGGCACGCUGGUGUGUAGGUGAAGUCCCUGCGGAUGGAGCUGAGACCAGUCGAAGAUACCAGCUGGCUGCAACUGUUUAUUAAAAACACAGCACUGUGCAAACACGAAAGUGGACGUAUACGGUGUGACGCCUGCCCGGUGCCGGAAGGUUAAUUGAUGGGGUUAUCCGUAAGGAGAAGCUCUUGAUCGAAGCCCCGGUAAACGGCGGCCGUAACUAUAACGGUCCUAAGGUAGCGAAAUUCCUUGUCGGGUAAGUUCCGACCUGCACGAAUGGCGUAAUGAUGGCCAGGCUGUCUCCACCCGAGACUCAGUGAAAUUGAACUCGCUGUGAAGAUGCAGUGUACCCGCGGCAAGACGGAAAGACCCCGUGAACCUUUACUAUAGCUUGACACUGAACAUUGAGCCUUGAUGUGUAGGAUAGGUGGGAGGCUUUGAAGCGUGGACGCCAGUCUGCGUGGAGCCAACCUUGAAAUACCACCCUUUAAUGUUUGAUGUUCUAACGUUGGCCCCUUACCGGGGUUGCGGACAGUGUCUGGUGGGUAGUUUGACUGGGGCGGUCUCCUCCCAAAGCGUAACGGAGGAGCACGAAGGUUAGCUAAUCCUGGUCGGACAUCAGGAGGUUAGUGCAAUGGCAUAAGCUAGCUUGACUGCGAGCGUGACGGCGCGAGCAGGUGCGAAAGCAGGUCAUAGUGAUCCGGUGGUUCUGAAUGGAAGGGCCAUCGCUCAACGGAUAAAAGGUACUCCGGGGAUAACAGGCUGAUACCGCCCAAGAGUUCAUAUCGACGGCGGUGUUUGGCACCUCGAUGUCGGCUCAUCACAUCCUGGGGCUGAAGUAGGUCCCAAGGGUAUGGCUGUUCGCCAUUUAAAGUGGUACGCGAGCUGGGUUUAGAACGUCGUGAGACAGUUCGGUCCCUAUCUGCCGUGGGCGCUGGAGAAUUGAGGGGGGCUGCUCCUAGUACGAGAGGACCGGAGUGGACGCAUCACUGGUGUUCGGGUUGUCAUGCCAAUGGCACUGCCCGGUAGCUAAAUGCGGAAGAGAUAAGUGCUGAAAGCAUCUAAGCACGAAACUUGCCCCGAGAUGAGUUCUCCCUGAGACUUUAAGUCUCCUGAAGGAACGUUAAAGACGAUGACGUUGAUAGGCCGGGUGUGUAAGCGCAGCGAUGCGUUGAGCUAACCGGUACUAAUGAACCGUGAGGCUUAACCUU